UAGCCUAAUGGUUAAAGCUAUGGAUCGCCAAUCCGGAGACGGCGGGUUCGAUUCCCGU
rnacentral:tRNA from 1 species